rnacentral:rRNA from 1 species
CGUGUGACGCUGCGGCAGGCCUAACACAUGCAAGUCGAGCGGUAGAGAGGUGCUUGCAUCUCUUGAGAGCGGCGGACGGGUGAGUAAUGCCUAGGAAUCUGCCUGGUAGUGGGGGAUAACGCUCGGAAACGGACGCUAAUACCGCAUACGUCCUACGGGAGAAAGCAGGGGACCUUCGGGCCUUGCGCUAUCAGAUGAGCCUAGGUCGGAUUAGCUAGUUGGUGAGGUAAUGGCUCACCAAGGCGACGAUCCGUAACUGGUCUGAGAGGAUGAUCAGUCACACUGGAACUGAGACACGGUCCAGACUCCUACGGGAGGCAGCAGUGGGGAAUAUUGGACAAUGGGCGAAAGCCUGAUCCAGCCAUGCCGCGUGUGUGAAGAAGGUCUUCGGAUUGUAAAGCACUUUAAGUUGGGAGGAAGGGCCGUUACCUAAUACGUGAUGGUUUUGACGUUACCGACAGAAUAAGCACCGGCUAACUCUGUGCCAGCAGCCGCGGUAAUACAGAGGGUGCAAGCGUUAAUCGGAAUUACUGGGCGUAAAGCGCGCGUAGGUGGUUCGUUAAGUUGGAUGUGAAAUCCCCGGGCUCAACCUGGGAACUGCAUUCAAAACUGUCGAGCUAGAGUAUGGUAGAGGGUGGUGGAAUUUCCUGUGUAGCGGUGAAAUGCGUAGAUAUAGGAAGGAACACCAGUGGCGAAGGCGACCACCUGGACUGAUACUGACACUGAGGUGCGAAAGCGUGGGGAGCAAACAGGAUUAGAUACCCUGGUAGUCCACGCCGUAAACGAUGUCAACUAGCCGUUGGGAGCCUUGAGCUCUUAGUGGCGCAGCUAACGCAUUAAGUGACCGCCUGG